rnacentral:rRNA from 1 species
UUUGGUCGGGAAGAAAGGGCGCUCCUGAAUAGGGAGCGUCUAUGACGGUACCGGCAGAAUAAGCACCGGCUAACUACGUGCCAGCAGCCGCGGUAAUACGUAGGGUGCGAGCGUUAAUCGGAAUUACUGGGCGUAAAGAGUGCGUAGGCGGUUCUCCAAGUCCGUUGUGAAAGCCCCGGGCUCAACCUGGGAAUGGCAGUGGAAACUAGGGGACUUGAAUCUGGCAGAGGGGGGUGGAAUGCCGCGUGUAGCAGUGAAAUGCGUAGAGAUGCGGCGGAACACCGAUGGCGAAGGCAGCCCCCUGGGCUGAGAUUGACGCUCAGGCACGAAAGCGUGGGGAGCAAACAGGAUUAGAUACCCUGGUAGUCCACGCCCUAAACGAUGGCAACUAGGUGUUGGGGAAGCGAUUUCCUGGUACCGCAGCUAACGCGUGAAGUUGACCA